UACGAAGGGGGCUAGCGUUGUUCGGAUUUACUGGGCGUAAAGCGCACGUAGGCGGCUUUCUAAGUCGGGGGUGAAAUCCUGGAGCUCAACUCCAGAACUGCCUUCGAUACUGGAGCUUGAGUCCGGGAGAGGUGAGUGGAACUGCGAGUGUAGAGGUGAAAUUCGUAGAUAUUCGCAAGAACACCAGUGGCGAAGGCGGCUCACUGGCCCGGUACUGACGCUGAGGUGCGAAAGCGUGGGGAGCAAACAGGG
rnacentral:rRNA from 1 species